rnacentral:lncRNA from 7 species
AUGACCAAUCCCCAAAGCAGUGUCUGUCCCCACUGGAACAUUGACUGGGUGUAAGGCAUAGGGAUCUGCUGUGAUUGCGGUGCCUGUGCAUCAGUUGUGAUGGAGCAUUUUUACAUAACUAAGACCCAGCUGAGCCUGUUGGUCCUACUUUGCUUCUGUAAAUACUCCAGGCCUGAAAAACUGCCAGGUCCUCACCCUACACCCAAUUCUCCAGUAGUUUAUGAGAAAGAGCACGCACACAUCUGUGUGUAUUUGGGGUGCAUGAGGGCAGCACUUGGUGCAAGUUGCAUCAGAGAUUUCAGUCGAAGAAGCCUAAGAGUAGCAGAUCUAUCUCAUGGAUUUACAUACUUGGAUAAGCCUCAUAUGGAUGAACCAUCUUUGCUGACUUUCAAAAAAAAUUGCUUUUAAGUCCUUUCAGACCAAGUUUGAGAACCUUCAUCCCACAUUAAUGGUGUGAGGUAACUCUAAGUCCAUGAUUACUAAGGCUUAGAAUUAAAAGGUGUUCUCAAACUUGCCUAUGGAGUUGGGUCAGCCUCAAAACCAAGGAAAACUGGAUGGUCUAAAACCAGCCUUGUUAAAACUAGAAUAAAAUAAUAUCCUUGAGUCU